rnacentral:rRNA from 1 species
GAUGAACGCUAGCGGCAGGCCUAAUACAUGCAAGUCGAACGGUGUCUUCGGACAUAGUGGCGCACGGGUGCGUAACACGUAUGCAACCUACCUUACAUUGGGGGAUAGCCUUUCGAAAGGGAGAUUAAUACCGCAUAAGACAGUAGCUGGGCAUCCAGCAGCUGUUAAAGAUUUAUCGAUGUAAGCUGGGCAUGCGUCCAAUUGGCUAGUUGGUGAGGUAACGGCUCACCAAGGCAAUGAUUGGUAGGGGAACCGAGAGGUCAAUCCCCCACCCUGGCACUGAGAUACGGGCCAGACUCCUACGGGAGGCAGCAGUAGGGAAUAUUGGGCAAUGAACGCAAGUCUGACCCAGCCAUGCCGCGUGCAGGAUGAAGGCGUUAUGCGUUGUAAACUGCUUUUAUACAGGAAGAAACGACUCUUGCGAGAGGCAUUGACGGUACUGUAUGAAUAAGCACCGGCUAACUCCGUGCCAGCCGCCGCCGUAAUAC